rnacentral:lncRNA from 1 species
ACACUAUUCUAGGCAGUGGGGAUGCAACGGUGAAGCCGAGGACAAGGCCCCCAUGCGAAGGAAACAGGGAGCAGAUCUGCAGAGAUGAAAUGCCAGGGUUGGCCGGGAAUUCCAUACCCGACCUGAAUCCAUAUCUACCGGACCCCACAUCUGCCGUCCGACCCAAUGAGGGAGAUAAUAGUUGGCACCGAUGCUCUUUCCUCAUGAUCACAAAAUGGCUAUUACCGUUAUGAACGUACAUCUUUAUGCCACGAUCUCCAGGAGUAGAGAGAAGAAGAGAAAUGGAGUGGAGUGGUUAAGAGCAGUGAAUCUGAAGCCUGAUCGCUUGAGGUUGAAUCCUGGCUAGCCCAAUGACCUUGGCCAAGUUCCUAAACCUCGGGCCGCACCUGUGGCACAUGGAAAUUCUCAGGCUAGGAGUCGAAUUGGAGCUAUAGCUUCUGGCCCACAUCUGCAAUUCAUGCCAACGCCAGAUCCCUAACCCACUGAAUAAGGCCAGGGAUCGAACCUGCAGCUUCAUGGAUACUAGUUGGAUUUGUCACCUCUGAGCAACAACAGGAACUCGCAUUUUUAGACCAGGACCCACACACAGUGGUUCUCUCUUGCUCUUUGCACCUAGGGAUAACGGUGGAAUGUCCCAUGACUUCUUUAUGAGGUCAGAUACGCUUUAACAUCUUGAGCCUUUCAAAGUGCUUCCCUCAGUCUGGACUGAAGCCUGACCAACACUGGCAGAGAUGGGCCUUUUGGGAAAAUGACAGCGAAAGUCUCACGGACGCAGACUGAAAGAAGUCAAGGCUGCUUUUCUGUCCUUCCUAUCAUGUUGUCUGGCUUAGAUUUUGGUUAGGAAAUUUUAGUUAGAACCAAAAUCAGUUCUGAGUCAGUGGAUUGGGCAUUUCUGAACCUCCCAUGCCUCUGUAAAAUGUGGUUAAUAAUAGCAUCACAUUUAAAGAUUAAUUUAUACAGUGCAUUUAAGAGUGUUUAGAACCAUACGGUAAGUUCUAAACAGUAAAGAGGAAGCACUGGUUUUCCCUACACAUUAUUCCAGAAGAAAGAGGGAUGUUCUGAGAUGGAGAUGAGAGAAUGAGCUAAAGGAUGUACCACUUACCUAAGGCCAGGAGGCAAGUCCUGGAGGAUGGAACUUAGAGGGUGUUUGGCUGACCCAGCCCAUCCAUCUAACUGGGNGGCCACAUAGUUUUGGUGAAAAGCGCGUGAGAGUGGGAUCUUUGGUAAAUGGGGACUGAGACAUCAGUCCUGAAGGGUUGCUAGAUUAGCAAACUAGUGGAUAAAGCAUGUGAUUGGAACUUGGCACAUAGUAGGGGCUGGAUAAACAGUGCCAAUAAUAAUAGCCUUCUCUUACCACAGCUGGACCCCUUCCUCAGAGUGCUCUGAAUUCAGAGCCUUCCUCAAGCUAAGGAAAUGGCAGUUUGCUUGAAUACAAUGGUCUUUUUAAGGCAGCUCAGAUGUUUAUCUUAUUCUAAUAUUUACCCUUUUGAAUAGGAUUUUCGGGUGGCUUAUUUUUUAUUGCUCUAGGGAGUGGGGUUACACAGUGUUAAGCUUAAUAUCAACCUUUAAGUGAAAAAUGGAUAAAACUGAGAGAAAACCCGCUUCUGACCCAGGGGAGAAAAAGGCUCUGGUAAAAUCUGGCCUGGAUUCUUCUCCACAUCACCUUAGGGCCAGGGAGCCCAGGGGAAUACCUGGAAGUGGUUCAGAUUGGUUUGAACAUCUAUAAAGGUUUAGCAGGAACCCUCUCCAGUCCAAUGGCCAGGAGCAUCUGGAAUGUUCUAACAUCUGAUUGCCUAUUGGCAAUGGUGAUUUAUCCUAAGCCCAGAUAAAUUGCUCUGGAUUGAACCAGAGGUCACACCUCUCACUGCCAUGUGGUCUUAGGUCUGGCCAGCCUUCCAAUUUAAGUCUAAGUUAAAUCCUUCAUCAUUAAUUUUUUUUCCAUUUUGGCUAAAAUCAUCUUCAGGAAAUAGGACUUAAUGAUAACAGUGUCUUCAAGUAAGAAGGACAAUGACCAAAUAAGCCCUGUGGGUGUAGGAAUGUGUUCAGCUAUAAAUACUUCCCCUUAGCACAGAAGACUUCACAGUUGCCUUCAGAACCACCACCCCAAAUUUUCCCUUCAGGUAAGACUCAAGAGAGCAGGUAUGUAUAUUCAGACUAUCCAAAAGUUUUGGGUGUUUUGUCUUUAUCAUCACUGUCAAACAUCGGAUAUAUUUUUACUCAGUUAAUCCUCUCUCUCAAUAACUCUAUAAAGCAGGGUUUUACAGAUGAAGAAAUUGAGGCAUGAUGACGUUAGUUCAUUUUGGGAUUAAAUAGCUAUUGAGGGAGUUCCCGUCGUGGUGCAGCAGAAAUGAAUUUGACCAGGAACCAUGAGGUUGCAGGUUCAAUCCCUGGCCUCGCUUAGGGGGUUAAGGAUCCAACAUUGCCGUGAGCUGUAGUGUAGGUCGCAGACGAGGCUGCGAUCUGUGUUGCUGUGGCUGUGGCGUAGGCCGGCAGCUAGAGCUCCGAUUAGACCUCCUAGCCUGAGAACUUCCAUAUCCGCAUGUGCAUCCUAAAGAAAAAAAGACAAAAGACAAAAAAAGAAAAAUACUAUUGAGUGUCAGAGCCAAGGGUUUGAAAGAGUAUCUGCACAACUCAGAACAAUACUCCUCUUGGGCCAGUUUUUGGAAAUUAAGCACAAUCUAGGUGGGUAGAAGUGGUGGGUUUAUUUCCUUCAGCAAGUUUUCACCAGGUUAGAGGGAUGGGACUUGCCAGAUGAGGUGAGGGGAGAAAGAUACUGCUUGUGUGAUUAGGAUUUAGGUUCCAGCCUGCAUUGUCUAUAAGGUACCAACUGAAAUUCUUUCGAUUUCCAACAUGCCAGGAGGCCAGGGGAACACUCGGCCACUUCCACUCCGCCUGCACAGUUCGAUUUGUUCUAGAUGAGGGAGCCAUGCAGAGAGGGUCCAGAGAGAAAAGACUGGAGUCAUGCCAGACAGUGGGCAUCUUUCUCCUCGGGGCCUUUCCUGGGAGCUGAAGCUGUGUGAAAAGAGAAGAUAGAUAGUAGCUGCCCAUGAGCUAAUGAGAAAAACAUCUCAAAGGGAUGCUUAGGUGUUGUAUGAGCAAGGCCCUCCUCCUCUGAACAUGAAAUUUCUCCAUUGGUGCUUAGAAAUUUCCCUUCAGCACAGAUUUGCUUAUUCUUGACCAAUCCAUAGUUGUCUAUUGAUUCUUGUGCUAUAAACAGAAACAGUUGCCUAGGAGUGCUAUCAAUUGUGUGUUAGUUUCUGAAGGUAAAUGGUUGCAAAAGCCAACUGAGUAAACAUUACCCUUACUAGAUGCCGUAAGUCCCCUAUCUAUACAUGAUUUGGGGUAGACUGCCUUUACUUCUUAGUGUUUCAGAAGCACUGGAAAAGACUAAAUGAAGGUACAGAAGGGAUGCCUACUUGCAGAGGUCUGGAGAUUAGCUGAUUCUUUCCUUAAAGAUACUGGAGGGAUCUAGGCCUAUUUGGGGCCUAUUGGGUUGGAGGUGCCCCAAGACCUCUGGUUGGAGCUGUCCAGCACAGAGCUGUGAACAGGGGAUGCAGGCUUAGUUCAGAGCUGGGGAGAGAGAGCUGGACCACGCAGUAGGAAUCAGCCACCCCUGCAUGUAGAAGGGCCUAGACAAGAAUGAGAAGACAUGUCAUUUUCUGCUCAGUUCUGUGGUGAAGUCUUCCUGUAAACUCAUCUCUAGGGUGUGAAUGACCUCAUCAACAUCCUUCCGCCUCUGAGAGAAGAGCUGCUGGAGACUCCUGGAUGUCUGGCCCAAAGCUGGAGGCUCUGAAAGGGCUGAGAGAUGAUUUGGAAGAUACCGUUUAACUGCUUUUUACUGAUGUGACCAUAUGUCUACCCGGAGAUUGGAGACCUUGGACAGCUGGAGGAUCCAAGAUAACCUCCCUCCUCCUGUCUGGAUUCGCAGAAUAAAACCUUGUCAAAACAACAAAGGAAAAGUGGCCGGACUUCAGUUUAAGAGUUGGUUUAUGAGCACAACUCUGAAUGCAUGAUUUAAAAUGACAUUGGCUGGAGUUCCCGUCGUGGCGCAGUGGAAACGAAUCCAACUAGGAACCAUGAAGUUGCAGGUUCAAUCCCUGGCCUUGAUCAGUGGGUUAAGAAUCCGGCGUUGCUGUGAGCUGUGGUGAAGGGUCGCAGAUGGGGCUCAGAUCCCGUGUUGCUGUGGCUGUGGUGUAGGCUGGCAGCUGUAGCUCCAAUUUGACCCUAGCCUGGGAACCUCCACAUGCGGAUGUUUAUACUCUUUUCUUCAUCUUGGAACUAUCUAUUUGAUUUAAAGCUGAUCAAGACCAUGACAUAGAGAGAAAGAACCCAGACCAAUGAAGACAAGAGAGCUGCUCUUUGUGUGACGCAUUUCCUCACCCAGCCGCAGAUUGCAACAGAGGAGAUGAGAUAAAGAUGAGGAACCUCAACAGAAAGGAUGGAUGUAAACAGUGGGUUUGCUGUGCAGUGACAAGAGCCCAGCUUGGGAAGGGUGUUGAGUGGGGUGAAGAUGUCACAGGAACUCACGAAAGCCAGAGGAGUUCACAGUUCAGAGAAGGUGGGUCUUCUAGCUGCUGAAGGCCACACAGCAACCCUUGUGGACAGUGGGGUCCAUUCUAAGGACCUGUUCGUGAAUCCAACUACUGAAGAGCCUUAACCAGUCUUCCCUCUGGGUUCUUUUCCUUUACAUUCCAUGAGUUGGAGAUGGACCGUCCUAGUGCAGUACUUGGAUGAAUGGCUGGAAUGAAAUGAUGCUUUUUCAGCUCCCAAGAGGAUGUAAAGGGCACAAGGUCACCUUUAUUGAACUGUUUUCCUGUUGGCCAUCCCUUCUGGGCCCCAAGUUCUGCAUUUGCAGCAUCUGGCACAGUGCUGGGCACAUCCUGAGCUUGAGAAAAGCUGGACAGGCUCAGGAAACAGAAGGAGUUUUCUGGGAACAGACUGGAGAGGAGGAGCCAGUUAAAGUGACAAAAGGCACAAGUUUGAACUUCCUGUGUCCUGCGCCUGCUGCCGGAGCAGGGCUCUGAGCUGCCUCCAGAAUGGCCCACUGGUCAUGGGGGAAGUAAGAGAGAUUUGCUCACAGCAGGGCAUUUACUUAUAAGCUGGCCCACCCUGGGAUUUGGCCUCGAUGGUGGACAAUCUCCCUGCAUAAGGAAACCCUCUGCAGGGAACUCUUCCAAGGGAGAAGGAGACCAGCCAGACAAGCCUGGCCCGGGAUCAAAGCUCUGGGCCUCAGAGGGUGGGCUGAGUCGAGGAUGGGCUGGAUCUAACUUCUGGGUCAGCGCCAUGAGCAGCGCAGACCCGGCAUGACAGCGGGAUUGGGGGGGGGGGGGCAGCACCCCUCCUCGUUGGCUCUUGGAACCUGGCCUUUUGGGCACCUGCCUAGGAGGUGUCAGAAACCAGCAGAGGCCAUGUGUGUGUGGUGGCCGCAGGGCUGGUCAUGCUCCAGGGGGUGGGAGGAGGCCUGGGAGGUGGGGCUGGUUUCUCAGAGACCCAGGACACUUGUUUCAAAAUCGGACGGAAAAAAAAAUGAACUUCUAAGACACAAAAGGUCACAUGCUGCAUGAUUCCAUUUAUAUGAAAUAUCCAGAAUAGGAAAAUCCUAAGAGACAGAAGGUAAAUUAGUGGUUGCCAGAGUCUGGGGAGAAGGGGAGAGUGGGCAGCGAUUGCUAAUGUGUUUGGGGUAUCUUGUUGGGGUGAUUAAAAUGUCCUGAAUUAGAUUGUGGUGAAGGUGGCACAAUCUUGAGACUAUACUAAAAACCACUGAAUUGUAUAUUUUAAAGUGGUCUACUUUAUGGCAUGUGGAUUAUAUCUCAAUAAAGCUAGUUGUUUU